GACGAACGCUGGCGGCGUGCUUAACACAUGCAAGUCGAACGGAAAGGCCCUGCUUUUGUGGGGUGCUCGAGUGGCGAACGGGUGAGUAACACGUGAGUAACCUGCCCUUGACUUUGGGAUAACUUCAGGAAACUGGGGCUAAUACCGGAUAGGAGCUCCUGCUGCAUGGUGGGGGUUGGAAAGUUUCGGCGGUUGGGGAUGGACUCGCGGCUUAUCAGCUUGUUGGUGGGGUAGUGGCUUACCAAGGCUUUGACGGGUAGCCGGCCUGAGAGGGUGACCGGCCACAUUGGGACUGAGAUACGGCCCAGACUCCUACGGGAGGCAGCAGUGGGGAAUAUUGCACAAUGGGCGGAAGCCUGAUGCAGCAACGCCGCGUGGGGGAUGACGGCCUUCGGGUUGUAAACCGAUUUCGCCUGUGACGAAGCGUGAGUGACGGUAAUGGGUAAAGAAGCACCGGCUAACUACG
rnacentral:rRNA from 1 species